rnacentral:rRNA from 1 species
CCUACGGGUGGCUGCAGUGAGGAAUAUUGGUCAAUGGGCGCGAGCCUGAACCAGCCAAGCAGCGUGAAGGAUGAAUGCCCUACGGGUUGUAAACUUCUUUUAUAAAGGAAUAAAGUGUGGCACGCGUGCCUUUUUGUAUGUACUUUAUGAAUAAGCAUCGGCUAACUCCGUGCCAGCAGCCGCGGUAAUACGGAGGAUCCGAGCGUUAUCCGGAUUUAUUGGGUUUAAAGGGUGCGUAGAUGGGGUGUUAAGUCAGUUGUGAAAGUUUGCGGCUCAACCGUAAAAUUGCAUUUGAUACUGGCAGUCUUGAGUGCGGUUGAGGUAGGCGGAAUUCGUGGUGUAGCGGUGAAAUGCUUAGAUAUCACGAAGAACUCCGAUUGCGAAGGCAGCUUGCUAGACUGACACUGACGUUGAUGCUCGAAAGUGUGGGUAUCAAACAGGAUUAGAUACCCGUGUAGUC